GAUGAAGAACGUAGCGAAAUGCGAUAAGUAAUGUGAAUUGCAGAACUCAGUGAAUCAUCGAAUCUUUGAACGCACAUUGCGCCCCCUGGUAUUCCGGGGGGCAUGCCUGUCCGAGCGUCAUUGCUGCCCUCAAGCACGGCUUGUGUGUUGGGCCUCCGUCCUCCUCCCGGGGGACGGGCCCGAAAGGCAGCGGCGGCACCGCGUCCGGUCCUCGAGCGUAUGGGGCUUCGUCACCCGCUCUUGUAGGCCCGGCCGGCGCUUGCCGACACAUCAAUCUUUUUUCCAGGUUUACCUCGGAUCAGGUAGGGAUACCCGCUGAACUUAAGCAUAUCAAUAAGCGGAGGA
rnacentral:misc_RNA from 1 species